AAGCAGUGAUGAAUUCUGCACCUAAUGUGGCACUUAGGGUUCGCCACCAUCUUCUGAUCUUCCAGAAGAAACUUGUGCAUCUGAGCUU
rfam:Spinacia oleracea cultivar SynViroflay scaffold24289.con0013.1, whole genome shotgun sequence.